rnacentral:rRNA from 1 species
AGAGUUUGAUCCUGGCUCAGGACGAACGCUGGCGGCGUGCCUAAUACAUGCAAGUAGAACGCUGAAGAGAGGAGCUUGCUCUUCUUGGAUGAGUUGCGAACGGGUGAGUAACGCGUAGGUAACCUGCCUUGUAGCGGGGGAUAACUAUUGGAAACGAUAGCUAAUACCGCAUAACAAUGGAUGACACAUGUCAUUUAUUUGAAAGGGGCAAUUGCUCCACUACAAGAUGGACCUGCGUUGUAUUAGCUAGUAGGUGAGGUAACGGCUCACCUAGGCGACGAUACAUAGCCGACCUGAGAGGGUGAUCGGCCACACUGGGACUGAGACACGGCCCAGACUCCUACGGGAGGCAGCAGUAGGGAAUCUUCGGCAAUGGGGGCAACCCUGACCGAGCAACGCCGCGUGAGUGAAGAAGGUUUUCGGAUCGUAAAGCUCUGUUGUAAGUCAAGAACGAGUGUGAGAGUGGAAAGUUCACACUGUGACGGUAGCUUACCAGAAAGGGACGGCUAACUACGUGCCAGCAGCCGCGGUAAUACGUAGGUCCCGAGCGUUGUCCGGAUUUAUUGGGCGUAAAGCGAGCGCAGGCGGUUUGAUAAGUCUGAAGUUAAAGGCUGUGGCUCAACCAUAGUUUGCUUUGGAAACUGUCAAACUUGAGUGCAGAAGGGGAGAGUGGAAUUCCAUGUGUAGCGGUGAAAUGCGUAGAUAUAUGGAGGAACACCGGUGGCGAAAGCGGCUCUCUGGUCUGUAACUGACGCUGAGGCUCGAAAGCGUGGGGAGCGAACAGGAUUAGAUACCCUGGUAGUCCACGCC